UACGGGGGAGCAAGCGUUGUUCGGAUUUACUGGGCGUAAAGGGCGCGUAGGCGGCCAGCACAAGUCAGUUGUGAAAUCUCCGAGCUUAACUCGGAAAGGUCAACUGAUACUGUGCGGCUAGAGUGCGGAAGGGGCAACUGGAAUUCUCGGUGUAGCGGUGAAAUGCGUAGAUAUCGAGAGGAACACCUGCGGCGAAGGCGGCAUCCUGGACUGGUCCUGACACUCAUGAGCGAAAGCGUGGGGAGCGAUCGG
rnacentral:rRNA from 1 species